GAUGAACGCUAGCGGCAGGCUUAACACAUGCAAGUCGAGGGGUAUAGUUCUUCGGAGCUAGAGACCGGCGCACGGGUGCGUAACGCGUAUGCAAUCUACCUUUUGCAGAGGGAUAGCCCAGAGAAAUUUGGAUUAAUACCUCAUGGUAUGUGAGAAUGGCAUCAUUUUCACAUUAAAGUCACAACGGCAAAAGAUGAGCGUGCGUCCCAUUAGCUAGUUGGUAAGGUAACGGCUUACCAAGGCAACGAUGGGUAGGGGUCCUGAGAGGGAGAUCCCCCACACUGGUAAUGAGACACGGACCAGACUCCUACGGGAGGCAGCAGUGAGGAAUAUUGGACAAUGGGCGCAAGCCUGAUCCAGCCAUGCCGCGUGCAGGAUGACGGUCCUAUGGAUUGUAAACUGCUUUUGUACAGGAAGAAACACUGGUUCGUGAACCAGCUUGACGGUACUGUAAGAAUAAGGAUCGGCUAACUCCGUGCCAGCAGCCGCCGUAAUAC
rnacentral:rRNA from 1 species